rnacentral:rRNA from 1 species
UACGGAGGGUGCAAGCGUUAUCCGGAAUCACUGGGCGUAAAGGGCGCGUAGGCGGCCGAUUAAGUCGGGGGUGAAAGCCUGUGGCUCAACCACAGAAUUGCCUUCGAUACUGGUUGGCUUGAGACCGGAAGAGGACAGCGGAACUGCGAGUGUAGAGGUGAAAUUCGUAGAUAUUCGCAAGAACACCAGUGGCGAAGGCGGCUGUCUGGUCCGGUUCUGACGCUGAGGCGCGAAAGCGUGGGGAGCAAACAGGAUUAGAUACCCGGGUAGU